AAUUGCAGCCACCACAAUGCUCCGAAAAUCUGCAGGUGCCUAGGUCAGCUUCUUGCUCAGAAGUCCUUUGUAGCUCCCUUUGCCUACAGGACUGGAAUGCAGAGUCCCUGGAGGUGGGCACUGUGGGAGCAGGCAGCACAGAGGAACAGUGAGGAUUGGGGCUGAAGCCAGGAGGAAGCUGUGCCCCCAGCAUGACAGAAAGGUCUGGCUGCACGUCCCACUUCUAACCAGCAGAUGGCAAGCGUGUGCUGGUAGUGUUUCUUCUCAAAGGCCUUUGAUUGCUUGACAUGGUCUUCCUUAUGUUCCAAAAGAAGCCAGAACAGAUCACCAUCCUGCAUGUCAACCACCAUUGAACCAUACUAAUCAACUGGGGAGCUGGAGUCAAAUGCAUGCUAGGUGGUCAAGAUACAUGACACUACUGAGGCAGCCCUGCCCAGGCCCUUGUGAGGCAGCCUCUCUCUGCUGGGCUGAGUCUCCAUGGUGGGAGGUGUGCAUCCUCCAAGGUCCCCUUUCCUGUGGCCAUGAGCCCAGGCCUCUGCUCUCCUUUUAUCCCUGUUGCUCCCCAAGCCUCCUGGCUCCCCUUUCCUGGUGCAGAGACCAUGGGAGGUGCUUAACGCCAUCGGGGAGUGCAGAGGGGUUACACGCACUCUCAUGUAGCAUCCUGUUAGCCCCACCAGGGUCAUGACCUCAGAUCACUCACGCCAGACCUCAGGAUGGGCCUCCCCAAGGAUUUUCUCUGCGGGACAUGCAGAGGUGCUGUCUGCAGGAUGGAGGACUGAAACGUGAAAGAGAAAACGCAAAGCACAGCUAUGCUCAGCUCCACCUACUCCCCUCGAUCUCCUCGCCCAACUCUUCGGCCUCCUCUUGUCAGGAAGCUGACUUCAUUGGUCCAUGCCUGCAUGUGCCUGUACUAUGGACUGGCCUGUCAGGCCCAGCAUGCAGUUCUAGCUGUGGUGGAUGUGCCUUCUUACCCUCCUACAGCUGCGGAGAAGACCCCUUUGGCUCCAGGGCCUUUGGCUGAGCCUGGUCCUACUCUUGGCUGCACCAGUAACUUGGUGUCAGACCAUGAACUAGCCCUUCCCAUCACUGGGACUUAGUCUCCCAAUUUUCCAGGGACUCAGUAAACAUCUCAUCAGAUUCUAGAACAACCCUAACUCCCUGACAGAAGGUGGAACCUAGAGCAAAUGCUUUCCAUGCUUGAGACCUUAGUCUCAUCAUUCAUAAAACGAGGGGCUGGGCUAAAUGGCCUUGGAGCACUUCUAUCCUGUGAGCCUGUGAUCACUGAUCCACUGUCCAGGUGCCUGGGUGCCCUGUGGUUUGGGGACCAUCAUAGCCAGAUGGCAGUGACAUCCGAGAUGUCCCUCAGGGGGCCUGGGAUGGGUUGAGACAUCAUCGGCUUAGGGGAAAAUGGGAGCAGGCUUCAUCGAGCUUACCUUCUGAAGAGGAAGACUGAACUGCAGGAGGCCUUCCCUUGCUGGUAGACAGAGGGGUGGCAACUGCCCUCCCCUCUCUCCCAUCUCUGUCCUUAUGCUUUCUCUUCCCCAAGAGUCAGUUUGUGGCCAUUGCUGCCCACUCCUCCUGCCUCUUCACUCAGCGCUCCUUCCCGGAUGGGUUCAGCAUGGCCGUGCUCCUGUUCCUCCUCAGCCUCACUACCCCCUCCCUCAACAGCUACCAGCAGACACACCUGAGGAGAAGCUGACUUACAGGGCAGGAUCCGAGGACUGGAACUAUAGAGCCGACCCCACAGAGACAGCGUGGCUCGCUCCACCAGCGCCGAGCAGGUGCCUGAGCCUGCACUGUGUCCUCGGAUGGAAGGAGGAGAAUGGCCCCCUUCCAGGGUUCAGGAGGACAAAAGCGGAGCCAGCUCCUGAACUCGCUUCUGCAGCAGCACCACCACACGGGCCUGUGACUGUGUGCAUCUCCAUCUGCUACCAGAUGUGAGCCUCUCCAGAGCAGGACUGACUAUUCCCAGUGUCCCACCCUGGCACAGCGCCGCCAUCCGCGUGCGUUUGGAGUCUUGUAUUCCACAGUCAUGACCUCUAGCAAAGGUCGGGCUGAGGGCAUGGGGGAAGUCGAGGCUGGCUGGAUAUGUAACCUUGCAGUGGGAAACGAUGACAGAGUAUCCACGAGUGAGCGUGGGUCUGUGAGACUCAUAGUGUGGCUGUGGAAAUGGUCCCCCGUCUGUUCAUGCACUUAUAUGGUUGCACAAGUCGGUGACUGUGCGUGGGGUGGCGGAGAGGGCUGUGUGUAUAGCUCUACAGACUUGUUUUCCAGUCUGCAUGCACGUUUCCAUUUGAGUCUCUUCUGUGCGUCUCUGAGAGUGCCACACUGCAAAUAAAAGCCACUAGGAUAACACUGCUCCUGUCCCAGGCAGGGGACCCUGAU